rnacentral:rRNA from 1 species
UACGUAGGUGGCAAGCGUUGUCCGGAUUUACUGGGCGUAAAGGGCGCGUAGGCGGUCAGCACAAGUCAGUUGUGAAAUCUCCGAGCUUAACUCGGAAAGGUCAACUGAUACUGUGCGACUAGAGUGCGGAAGGGGCAACUGGAAUUCUUGGUGUAGCGGUGAAAUGCGCAGAUAUCAGGAGGAACACCGGUGGCGAAGGCGGGUCUCUGGGCCGAUACUGACGCUGAGGAGCGAAAGCGUGGGGAGCGAACAGG